rfam:Candidatus Halobonum tyrrellensis G22 contig00026, whole genome shotgun sequence.
CGACGACGAGGAUAGGGGAAGUCGCCCGACGGCGGCUGGUCGAGAAAUUCUCC